UGCGGCUCCGGGGACCGGGCAGCCGCGACGGAGGGUCCGGCGGGCUGUGGGCAGGAAGACGGCAGCCACUCUUUCCUCUAGGCCUCGCGUCCACUCUCUGAGACAUCUGGAGCGGAGUGCGGGUGCGGGCAGCCAGCUCCUCCACCCACUCCCUGGCUCUGGUCGCUCACCUCUCCUCCGGCGGGCCCUCCUACUAGUCAGUGCUGCUAGCUGCUGGCGAGUUCGUGACUGCGAAGAGGGCGCCGAUCGCAGCUAGCCACGCUUCCAGCCACCCGCUUGGCUACCGCAGGGGCAGGCGACGGGAGCGACCCUCUGCCUGCUCAGAGCUGGAUCUCCGGAAAUGGAGAACCGUGAGGUUCUCACCUGCGA